rnacentral:misc_RNA from 1 species
UUUUUUUUUUUUUUUUUUGGUUUAUAAGGGAGGUAAAGAAGAGAAUCCAACUUAAAAUCUUGUCUAGGUUAGAGAAAUGCACUUGCCAACAUGCUAAGCCUAUAAUAAGUUAAGUUCUAAUACAUAUAGUAUUGUGCUAAUUAAUCUAAUAAGAAUAGUUCAUGUUUCGGCACUACUGCCUGUUCACAAAUGUAGAGUAGUAACAACCACAGUAUUCUGCCAGUGGGCAAGUAAUCUCUCUUUCAGCUGGGGGGCGAUAUUUCCCUUCCUCUUCUGACCUCAUCAAAGAUUGUCUAGACCUGGAACUAAAUGUUCAUUUUCAUUUUGGUUCAUGUCAUGAUCCAUUAUAUAACAUCUCAUAAGCUUUUAUCACUCAUUGCUUAUGCUGUGUCGAUAGGAGUACAGAAGAUGCUCUUAAAAGGUUGGGAAAGUUUUUGGUUAUGUUUAUGCAUUUCGUUAUUUUAUGAACUUUUUGACUUGAGAGGAUGAAAGAGAUGCACUUAGACAGCUGAAACAUACUUACAUCUUACUGAAAACUUUUAAAACACAUACCUUUUUUUUUUCCACGUCUGUAAAGGUAAAUAUAAAAUAAACUUGGAACCUUAGGAUGCUCUACUAUCAGCUAACACAAGUGAAAAAGAUUACUUUGAUGGUUGUUUAGUUCAGAAACCAAGGAUCGAUGCAUCGCCCCAGCAAUUAAUAGUCGAAUCAUAGAUUUCUUGAAUUGCCCACAGGUUUAAAAAUAUAUUCACACAUGACUUACGCACUGACAUAAUAAUUAAUGGUUAUCUCACAAGACUUGGUAACUUUGAAUGCAAUAUAUCUCUCAUACACCCACACAAACUGCGCGCAAAACACACACAGAUUGUAAAUGCUAUAGAGAUCAAAUUAUUAACUAACUCAAAUUAGUUAAGUAAUAUAUACCAUUUACCUCAUCUACGCAUUCCAGGAGGCACAAUGUCCCCGAGAAGUCCUUCAUCUACUGGAAUCUGUGGGGUAGGCUCUCGUAGCAUACCGAUUUCGAUUGUUUGAACAGGUACCUGUUGUGACUGUGCAAUAGUUGGACUUUCUCGAGGUAACUGAAUUCCAGGAUAAUAAAAUUGUGAAACUGGGGGGGUUAAGUGGUUGACAAAUGUCGAUUCAUGGCUAAUGAUUCCACCUCGGUGAAAACCAACAGUAGGGUGACAGUGCUGGCCUUCAUAAGUAGUAAUCACAAUGGCGGGAUCUUCAGAAGAUCGUUCAACCCUCUUUUUCACGGUACAUUUGCUAUUUGUGCAACGAUAGUAGCUCCUGGGAAAUGGACUAUUUUUAACCGCUUUCUGUCCAUAUUUCCGCCAACGGUAACCAUCCUCCAGAUGAUCAACUUCACUCUUAGUCAUAAAUGCAAAACGUGGCUGGCGGAUUCGUUUUUGCCCCUUCUUUCUAACUUUACUCCUACAAAAUAUUUCAUCUACAUUUAUCAAAAUAAAAAUAAAAUUCCGAAAAUAAAGAAGAAAUCAAACUGAAGUAAUGUCUUAAUUGCAAUCAGAUUAAUUAGUUAUCUUUGCUGACUAUAUUUCUCUUGGGAUCGAUAUAUAAAAUUGUUAAUUUGAUCUUAAUAAUAUAAAUGCAUUCUAAAUGCUUGUAAUUUCUUGCAGAAAGUGUUCGAAAUUUCAAAUUUUUAUCUUUCAAACGGGAAUAGAUUAUUAAAAUAUUCAAUCAAUGCUUGUAAUGUUACCUCAUGUAUAAAUUUUCUAUCAGUAUAUAAUAGCCUAAGACAUCUGUGAGUUGAUAUAUGAAAAUUGGAGAACUUAAUUAAUCUCUCACCAUAAAGUAAUUUAAAAGCAAUAAAAUCCAAUUCAUAUCAUCCCUGAGGCUAAGACUACAAUGACCAAGAUACUUCCUCUUGAGUAGGGGAUGAAUUACUUCCUCUUGAGUAGGGGAAGAAUUUACUACAAACGGUGGAAAAUGGCAUUGUUUAUAUGAAUAAACUUAGCCUUUAAUUUGGAAUAAGUAUGUCAAUAUUAAAUUUAAAAUUGUUGUUUACGACUACAAAAAUAUUACCAUAGCCAUAUCUAUUGCAUUCAGUAUCUAAUCAACCAACAUUAGAGAAUGCAAACUGCCGUCAAAUGCCCCAUUCAAAGAAUCUAUAUUACAUAAGGUGCACUUCUAAAGCCAGAAAAGAAAGUGCAUUUUCACGAAAAGACUCUAAACAAAACAUAGGAUUGAUGCUAAUGCACAUGAAUCUGUACGGUAUCUCAGGUGGUUUCCCGCCGGAGCCCGUAGACUUGUCUGGCGGAUCCUCGCUAGAGCUCGACGAGACUGACGGAUUGGAAGUUGACACGUCAGCACCACCAGCACCAGCACCACCGCUCUCAGACCUACCCGUACCAGCCUGACCACCACAACCACCACUACCACCACCACUUACCGAUCCCUGUAACCCGCUACUACUCUCAGGUGCAAACCCAAGGUUUUCGGCAUCGAUCCGGUCAAGGUCACCAAAGCUGCCCGGUUCGCUGGAAGUGUGGCCGGGUUGAAGAUUCCAUCCGAAUUCCCUGAGUAUACUGCUCUCUCUGUCGCUAGCGAAGAAGUAAUUGACGUUAUCGGAGUCAGAGCCGAGAUUCCAGUUGGAGUCAGUGGCGAAGUGGCCUCCCGGAUCGGGAUUGUGAGCAUCGUCCAUGGAGGAUCUAUUGAUAAUAAUUGAGCAGAGAGAGAAAGAAAAGGGCAAAGAAAAUGAGAGAGAAAGUUAGGGUUUUCGAAGGAGUGAAGAGAAGUGAGGCCGUUGAGUGUGUUGGGAAGGACGCGUAGUUUUUUUUCAAGGGUUUGAAAGGUGUGUCCUGUCAAUACAUUUUAG